AUGACAUUUAUAAACCAGUGGGGGCCACAGAACGAGGAGAAAMGCUCAAAGGAGGCCAUGGGAGGAGCCAUUUAAAGGGAAAGUGGACUUUAUUCUCAGAAUCACUGUGAUCAGUCAAUACUGCUGCCAUCCCACACGUCAGCAUCCAGUUCCCUGUUUCUCUUAUUGUAAUGUUUCUCUUACAAGCUGACGAAGUAAAAAAACUGCUGGAAAUCUCAAACAUUUUUUUCUUACAAAAUAAAAAAAAUAGAUAAAAAUAAUCUUUGUGGGUUUUGUAACAACUUGCAGAGAUAAUCAGCAAAAAAAGGUUGACAGCUUUCAUCUGUCAGCUGCUAUUUUGUCCCUCCUAUUUUGCACAUUUUAAAGACAUACUGCGGCUUAAGUGUUAAACCUUUUCUAAAAGUCUGCCUAUUUGUUUUACCAAGAGUUAGAUAUGUUAACAGGUGCCCUAACACUUAAAGGCAAACUCAUUUAUCAUCAAAGACAAAGUUUUUAAAGCCUUUUUUGGGCUAUUUUGUCGAAAAAAGAAAACUAUGCAUCAGUUUAUUCCACCAAUUUGAUGUUAUUCUAUUGUCUACAUUCAACACAUUUCAAACAAUUGAUUUAAUCUUGCAAUAUCACAUGACAUUGUACAGAACAUGAUUCAAGCCUACAUGAUUUGAACAAAGCAGCUUUAAUUUCAACUAUCAGAAUAUAUUGGUCUUAGAAUUCAGGCAUUAAAGGCAGUAGGUGAUACUGCAAAUACUGAAGACAAAAAAYAAUGCAAAAUCAUAUUGCCGGCAUAUUUAUGGCAGCCUGAGGAAAACUCUUCAGCUAUAGUCUGUUUUGUUUUACUACAGUAGUAUUUAAUAGAUUUUAAAUUACACACAAUUGUUUUUGCAGAAAUCUGCAGUAAUUAGGACAAUUUGAGACAAACCACUGCGAUAGAUAACCUCUGCUGCCAUCAGGACAAUCUGUGGCUAAAAUAUAAAUUAGAUAAAUUUGCCCUACGGCGAAUUUGAUUAAAAUAAAUGAGAAAAUCCGUUUGCAAUGCCUCUUCCAUCCAUCCGAUUUAAAGCCUGAUGGUAGACAGAAGGAACUCUGAGAUUCCUCUGGAGUUAUACAGCAACACAUUUAUAACACAACCURUCCAGACUUCUUAUUUUUUCUAACUUUAAUAAAGACAUGGUUCAGAUCRGCCUUGUGAUGGACAGGUGGCUUGUCCAGGUUGUAGCCUGCGUUUUGACCAAUGACAGCUGGAUGAUUCAUGAUUCUUAAAAUAAAAACAGACAUGGAAAAUCUCAACAACUCAAAAAAAAAUUAAUAAUAAUAAAUUAAUAAAAGUGAAGAUGAACUGUUUCUUCAGUUUUACUAGAAAAGCAUUAAAACAGAGCUUUUCUGGUUUACUCAUUUUUUGCUUUGAAUAACAAAAACAGGAUGAGUGACUGCAAACAUUAACAUUUAUUUCCCAGAUUACAAUGAUUUAUUUUUUAUGAACAUUCAGGGAUGCUUCAGCUGUUGUGACACAUYUGUUAAAUUUUUGUUAGAUAUCACUCCUGCUUAACUUCAUUAUUUUAGCAAACAUCAAAACAUUCCUCCCACUCAGUCUAUAAUCUGUUAGGACRAACAAUGAAUAACUUUAAAUAUGAGCCGACAGAGGGCAGCAAAGAGCCAUAAACUGAAUUAUUAUACUAGUGGAUUAUUUAUAUCUGAAGGUUUUCUAUAAAAGGAAAAACAUCUGGUCCAAAAAAACCAAGGUUAACUAUAGAGUGAGUAGUCAUGGGUGCAAUCUUAAACUAAUAAUUACCUGCCUCAGUAACCAUGAAGCAUCAGGGGUAUUUAAAAACAUAUUAAAUAGAAAAGGUCACCUCAUUUUGCUGUAAUGUUUACAAUGCAAUUUAAAAAAACUAAAAGAAAGAUAGGGAUUUUCUGUUUGUUCGACUAUCUGUUUACUGAGAUGUGACGRCACAAAAAGCUGUUAAUCCUAGUAAAUCCACAAAUGUUUGAUUCUAAUUAUUAUUCUCUGGAUAUCUCGCCUAAUGUCGCUCCCAACUUUUGAACUUAAUGAAGAUGCAGGAAGCGUUUCGAAUGUGUCACCAAUAGGUUUGAACUUGUGURUUCCCGUGUGAGUCACUGUCGUUUGUGGGCCAGAAAAUAAGCUCGACACAUGCUGAGAGGUGUUUCCUGGGUCGUUGAGUGUUGUGUGAUUCUGCCGCGUGAAUCAUUAUGCCAUCAACGAGGGGGAAGAAAAAAAGAAAA